GGGGCCAUAGCUCAGUUGGUAGAGCGCUUGAAUGGCAUUCAAGAGGUCAGGGGUUCGACUCCCCUUGGCUCCA
rfam:Paracoccus aminophilus JCM 7686, complete genome.